UACAAAAACUCAUUCUUAUGCAGUUAAAAGGUUCAAGUUUGUGGUGAAUGUUGUUGAUCAUACCAGCAAUGCAUCUUUGUUAUUGUGGGAUAGGGAAGGCAGCCAACUUUUAGGGAGAAGUGUGACAGAUUUUUUAGGAAAUGGUGGUCAGGUUGCUCCUAAGAAUUCCAUUCCUGCACUUAUUGAAGAGAUUCUUGUGGGUCAGAAUGUCCUAUUUAAACUUCAGUUGAAAAAUCAUAUUGAGUAUUACAGAAGUUACCCAUUUACUGUGAACAAAGUUUGUAAUCUCCCUGAAGUAGUUGACAAGUAUACACCUAAAGACUUGGGUGAACAGAUUUUUAAAUUUGAUACCAAGUUAUCUGAUCUACUUUUUGGAGCUGAUCUUGCUGAGGUUUCUCAAAAGCCUUAUGCUACAACUGAUCUGUCCAGCCUUGGUAAUGAGAAUAUCAGUGACUUAUUUGUUGAAGGAUCUGAAUUAAAUGUUGGAGUUGUUGUUGCUGAGGGUUCUCAGAAAGUGUUUGAUACACC